CUCUGUCUCCCUUGUCUCUUCUAGUCCUGUUUCCAAAGAAGAGCUUAUCUCCAUCCCAGAAUUUUCACCAGUGAGUGAAAUGAUUCCUGGGAUGUCUCUGGAUCAAAAUGGAACUGGUAAUGCCCGGGCACUUCAAGAUAUUUUAGAUUUCACUGGCCCUCCAGCAUUCACCAAGAAAUCCAGUGAAAACCUCAGCCUUGAUGACUGUAACAAAAACCUCAUCGAAGGAUUUAACAGUCCUGGGCAAGAAACUACGCUGAACACCUUCUGUUGACAAAGAAAACAUUUCUUUAAUGAAAGGUGGUAUUUGGAUCGCCCAUGAAGCUGUCAGUGUUGAAUCUGAGCUGCUGACCACCUAAAAGAAGCUUCUUUUGCCCUUAACUGCUGGAUUCCAAAUUGCUAGAUUCAAAAUGUAACUUAUUAUUCCUAGGUAGUUUGGCAAACACUGGUCUCUCUUGGUAGAGACCUUGAGAUUUUUGCUUUGUGGGGCUUUAGCAAAGUUUCAUUUUAUGGUUCUACUUAUGAGCUUCAGCUGCUGCUAAAGCACUUUCUUGACCUUCUCUACUAUUGUAACCUGUGUAAUGCUGUCUGGGAACCCGACUUUAGGACACUCACGUUCCCAGAGUUGGAGCACAGAGACAUUUAGAUGUCUCUCCCUAUAAAAAUCUUCUAUUUGCCCAUACUCUAGUUAAACAUGUACUAUUCAACCUGGGCUGCUUAUCUCCCUGUCUUUGUGUGUGCGUGUGCGUGCACGUGCACGUGCAUAUUCGCGUGCCAGAGAGAGAGAGAGACAGAGUGUGUGAGUGAGAGUGAGCGCAAGCGCGCGCGAGAGAGUGUGUGAGUAUGGGGUGGGGGAAAUCUAGCUACUUUCUCUCCAUCUCAGGUUUCUGUUAUUUUAUUAUUAAGCUUCAUCAUCUGCAGAACAUUACCUCCUUUACUGUUUAGGAUUGAAGAAAUGUUUAGUUGAAUAAAUAAUUAAAUAGUGGCAAUUAUUUCUUUUCCCUUAUGGGAACUCAAAUCUAGCAAUGAUGCUUUCAUGUCACACCCCUAAAACCCCCGAAUUGUCACUCCAAACCAUUGAAUGGCUUUUCAGCUGAAUUAAUCAAGUAACAUACAGGUGGUUAUUUUCAUGGUUUUGCUGUUGUUUUCUAUUAGACUUGGUAUUUUCUUGUUUGCUCCUGUGUUUAACUAACUGUAAUAAAAAGGAGUCAGUGCUUUGAAAGGGGGCCCAAGUUGGUUCCAGUAUGUCACUUUAAUAGGCUUUAAACAUUAAAAAGUCUGAACAAGAAAAAAUGACACUAGAAUGUAUAACUCCGUGUAUGCCAUAUGCUAUAUUUAAAUUUUCAUUUCUUGUGGUGAAAUGUAGCUUUACUGUCAAAAAUGACUUUUUCUUUGGAACUUUUUGUUUUGACUUGUACCUUAAAGCUUUUGAAAAGAUCCUUAAUUCUGAGAUUUACAAACAGAAGAUACAAAGAAGUCUUAAAGCUGGUACAGUUUAAGAAUGUAUUAGUCUAACAAAUUAUGUAUGUUUAUGUGAUAUAAUCUAAAUAAAAUACAUACCUCUAAGAAUGCUGUGCCAUUGACCUUGAUGAAUACUUAAGGAGAUAAAUCUUUUAUGACAAACACACAAAAGAUAGCAUAGUCUGACAUCUAAAACAUACCUGGCUAUUUUUCUUAACACUUUCUUUUCCUGAGUGUCUAUUUCAUUGAGCUCCAUUGUACCUCUCAACACAAUUGUGAUCACAUGAUGCCUCAUUUGCAUGAUGUGUACAUUUUGUCUAAUGUUAAUACAUUUUCACUGAAGAGUCUGA